CCCCGGGGGGCGUGCUAUACAUGCAAGUCGAGCGGACCUUUUAAAGCUUGCUUUUGAAAGGUCAGCGGCGGACGGGUGAGUAACACGUGGGCAACCUGCCUGUAAGACUGGGAUAACUUCGGGAAACCGGAGCUAAUACCGGAUAAUAUAAGGAACCUCCUGGUUCUUUAUUGAAAGAUGGUUUCGGCUAUCACUUACAGAUGGGCCCGCGGCGCAUUAGCUAGUUGGUGAGGUAACGGCUCACCAAGGCGACGAUGCGUAGCCGACCUGAGAGGGUGAUCGGCCACACUGGGACUGAGACACGGCCCAGACUCCUACGGGAGGCAGCAGUAGGGAAUCUUCCACAAUGGACGAAAGUCUGAUGGAGCAACGCCGCGUGAGCGAUGAAGGCCUUCGGGUCGUAAAGCUCUGUUGUUAGGGAAGAACAAGUGCGAGAGUAACUGCUCGCACCUUGACGGUACCUAACCAGAAAGCCACGGCUAACUACGUGCCAGCAGCCGCGGUAAU
rnacentral:rRNA from 1 species